rnacentral:rRNA from 1 species
AUUGAACGCUAACAGCGUGCUUAACACAUGCAAGUCGAGCGGCAGCACAGUAGUAGCAAUACUAUGGGUGGCGAGCGGCGGACGGGUGAGUAAUGCAUAGGAAUCUGCCUUGUAGUGGGGGAUAACCCGGGGAAACUCGGGCUAAUACCGCAUAAUCUCUACGGAGCAAAGUGGGGGACCGUAAGGCCUCACGCUAAAAGAUGAGCCUAUGUUGGAUUAGCUAGUUGGUAGGGUAAAGGCCUACAAAGGCAACGAUCAAUAGCUGGUCUGGUAGGAUGAUCAGCCACACUGGGAAUGAGAAACGGACCAGACUCCUACGGGAGGCAGCAGUGGGGAAUAUUGGACAAUGGGGGAAACCCUGAUCCAGCAACGCAGUGUGAGUGCAGAAGGCCUUAGCUAUGCAAAGGACUUCUAGUUGAGCCGAAAAGCUAAAGGUUAAGACCCAUCAGUAAUGCCACAAGCAACAGAAAAAGCAAUGGCUACCUCUUUGCCAGCCGCCGCGGUAA